rnacentral:rRNA from 1 species
CCUACGGGCGGCAGCAGUGAGGAAUAUUGGUCAAUGGACGCGAGCCUGAACCAGCCAAGCAGCGUGAAGGAUGACUGCCCUCUGGGUUGUAACCUUUUUUUAUAUGGAAAUAAAACAGGGUAUGCAUACCCUCUUGUAUGUACCAUACGACUAACGAUCGGCUAACUACGUGCCAGCAGCAGCGGUACUACGGAGGAUCCGAUCGUUACACGGAUUUAUUGGGGUUAAAGGGAGCGUAGGUGGAGUGUUAAGUCAGUUGUGAAAGUUGGCGGCUUAACCGUGGAAUUGCAGUUGAUACUGGCAGUCUUGAGUACAGUAGAGGUGGGCGGAAUUCGUGGUGUAGCGGUGAAAUGCUUAGAUAGGACGAAGAACACCGAUGGCGAAGGCAGCUCACUGGACUGCAACUGACGCUGAUGCGCGAAAGUGUGGGUAUCAAACAGGAUUAGAUACCCUGGUAGUC